rnacentral:rRNA from 1 species
GUCUAUAGCCAUACCAUCUUGAACACGCCUGAUCUCGGAAGCUAAGCAAGGUCGGGCCUGGUUAGUACUUGGAUGGGAGAACGUCUAAGAAUCCUGGGUGCUGUAUGUA